rnacentral:misc_RNA from 1 species
GUUUAAUGCAUUUGAAAUGGUGAUAGAGUUGGAAUUAGCAGCAGAAAUUAAAAUCGAUUAUAGGAACAACAGUGAAAUAAUUGUGAAUUGUGAUGAGAUAGAGAGAGGAAUAAGGUGUUUGCCCGAUACUGGAAAAAGGAAGAAAGUUAAGGAAAUAAGUGAAAAAAGUAAAAAGGCCUUAACGGAGGGUGGAUCCUCAUACUUUUGGUUAGGUCAUUUUAUAAGAAAUGUUAUGGACAAUUAAAGGUUAGAAUUUGAUUCAAACCGAAUCAAAUUGAAUCGAAUUAAAUUAAAUCAUGAA